rnacentral:lncRNA from 1 species
AAGCGAUCGUGACUUCGAUACAAAGUUCCCCCAACACACUGCAAUCAUCUCAACGUACGUGAGUGAAAAUACACAAAACCAUUCUUAAACUAUUCUCCGUGGAAAUUGAAAAGCAAAAUCUGAAAUCAUCGUACCUCCCAGCCUCCCAUGCCAAACAUCUCUGUUCAAAGCUUACACGUUUUGGUCUACCUGGUCAUAGUAAGCGUUGGGACCAACCCGUGCUUAGUUCAACAAAGAUGGAUAUUGAAACAGGUGUCGACGUGUAAGUGGGGGCAUGCGUUCAAAGGAACCAGUGAGGCAUCCGAAGUGUUUUUUUUCUGUGGGGGGGAAGUGUGAGCCAGUGAUUGCAAUGCCGCAGUGUUGAGCCAAAGGAUUUUUCGAGGGAAGACGCAGGUAUUGAGCGCGGGAGGUAAGCAUCCCAUCAAUGAAUAAAGAGUUACCGCAAGGCAUGGUGCUAUGGCCACAGGAGUUUAUCCGAGAUUUAAAAUGCGUUCUUACAACCCUUGGCGUGGCGUGGGAGGCAAGAUCGGGGCAGUGAAAUGAUGUUUGUGGCUCGACUUGCAUAUCUCUGCCUCCCUCGAGGGAGUGCCUUGAUUGUGUGGGAGGGACAGUGCAUGCGAUGAAGCAAGGUGCUCUCCGUGCCAUAGUCGCGAAACAAUCAGGCUAGGGAUAAAGCAAUACCGGUGAAUAAACGAAAAACCAAUAUUUGGAAAUGAACACGAGAUAGGCCUACAUUAGUGUAGUCGGAAGCGUGACUGACCGAGAGACGGGAAAAAAGGCUGAGAAAAGGAAUCAGUGUUGAUAGUGAGGAGGAUUAUGGCUUCAGACCUGCUUCAGAAGGGUCUUCCGCAUCCUUGGAGUAUCGGAGUGGCUCGCGACGGACGCAUCUUUUUCAUUAAUGAGGAAGCUCGGCUGACCACUUGGCUUCACCCGGUGACCUGCGAACCCGUGCUGACCGGACACCAGCCACUUACAGACCUUCCCAAGGGAUGGGAGCGCGGGGUCACACCGGAGGGAAUCCCCUACUAUAUUGAGUGAGUACUGACGCCGUUUCUUAUUUUCCUUUCUUAUUGGGCGGUUG